UGAGCGUGACCAAUAUUUUGUUGUUAAUUUUUGUGGCACCGUGAAACAAAUAAUUUUAAAGACUGUGUUGUACGUAAUAUAAUUCUACCGUUUUUGUAGGUAAAAGCAUAUUAAAUUUUGUAAAAGCAUAUUAAAUUUUAUUUACAAAAUGGUAUGUUCAAGUAAAGCUAUUCCAGCUCAGAUACAGUUAUCAGCUACAGAUAUACAGAAUAUUUAUAAUCUAGCAACAGAGAUGCUUCGGCCAUACCAUACUUCUCAUACCCCAUCAGACCUAACCAUGCCUCACUCAACCAUGUGCAAAAUUUAUUGGUGAAAUAAUGGAGAAGUUUAAUAAGGGUUCAAGUCUUCCAAAGUUGUACACUUUGUAUCCAAAAUAUUGUUUGAAUGCGUCUCAACUGCUUGGGAUUUCCUCAAUUUUAUGCUGCACAGUUGUUGAUAAAGCUGUUUGAUGCAGUUGUAGGUUACAAUAAAAAUAAGUCAGAGAUUGUAGUUGCAGGCGUAGAUGCAACAGAAACCGGUAUAGUUUGUAAGUAAAUGCUGUAGUUAAGUUGGUAUACUACGUUUUAGAGAUUAUUGAAUAUAUUGGAGGAUUUUCAUUGAGAAAAGCAAAAAAGAAAUUUCCAGAAUCCAGAGAGGUUAUUAGUUGUUAUCAAAGGAGGAGCCUGAAGGUAGUUUUGCACAUUUAAUGGAAAAGGAUGGAAAACACCUCCUAUUUCCAACUGAGCAAUUGAUGCAAAUGUUGAUAAAACAGUUUACAUCCACAAUAUAAAAACCAGUAAGUUUAUAAAGGAGAUGAAUUUCAAAAUAAUUUUAAGUAAGCUGAAACAGGAUCCUUUUUUUACAAAUUUUUGUGACAUGCUGUGCAGUGAGUCUGGGCAAAACAAGCUUAUCAUUGUUAAAGUUUUAUGUUUCAUUGCAGAAAUAUUUGUUAAGGUAUUAGGACACAACUUCGCAAAAUAUGCUUUUCGUAGUUAUAAAACCAAAAUCAUCAAAGUUUACACCUGGUUUAAUAGGCACUUUAAAAAAUAUAGGUAAAAGUUAGAAUUCAAAACUAGUUUUCUUUGAAAUUCCUACAAUUACAUUGACAUAAUUUACUCACUUCGUUGGUGAAAUGAGUGCUUUUAAAACUUGGUUUGUUUUGGCAUUGGUUCGUUACAAACACUUGUCCAAGGUUUUAUUUUUUCCGAAGGUUGUGUUCCCACCUUUUAUCUUUUUAAUAAUAUUACGCUGUGAUAUUGCUGUCACCCGUAUCCUAUUUGACUAAUGUCCGGAUUGGUAUUUCGUCGCAUGUAAGACCGCUGUGACGAAACAUAAAAAAGUUGUUAUUGGCAGUAAGACAUCUCAUAGAUAUAACUUGUAAAUAAAGUAGCAAAGGAGAAAAAGGAUUGAAGCGAAACAACAUUUAAAAACGUGUUUUCAAUUAACGUUUCGAGUGCAGAAUGGUGCGUUGGGUAAAGUUGCGUUAAUAUAGCCAGAUUAGCCUUUCAUCAUCGAUUAAGCGAAUUGGAUCCUUAGCAGUGCAAGAAACAAUAUUAAACCUGAGCGAAUUGGAUCUUUAGCAGUGCAAGUAACAGUAUUAAACCAUCUAAAGGGGACAAUUCAUAGUAAAUUUGUACUUAUUAUAGGUUAGUAUGUUAAAAUGUAUAAUAGCCUACUUGUCCAUUAGCAAAACAUACUUUGCGGUACCAUCGGCACCAACAACAUCUCGCUCCAAGGCAAUACCAACUCUCAAGCUCAAGGUUUGUUUUGCAAUUAGAACACUCAUCUGAAGUAUAAGAAAUUUAGGUUCAUGUGAAAGAGUGCCAAAUUUGUCUUGUGAAGUGGGGUUUUGGAAUCCAAACUAAACAAUUCUUGAAUGUGGGUCCACAGUAUCUUUGCCAUCCUUAUGCAUGUUGUAUUUGGUACCUCCUGGCUUAGAAGAGAGUACAGAGAAUUUCUUGCUGUCUGCAAAUCAAUCAAAUGAGUCUACAUGGAUUUGGGGCAGCAUACGACUUUACAAGAAUAUCCAAUUUUGAUCCAUUUAUGAGUUCAAAAAAUUUCCUAUUAGAUGAUGCUCCAUCUGCGAUAACGGCAUUUAUGUGGACAUUCCUCAUCUCACAGAUUGUUACUGCUUCCCAAAACAUUGAAGCCAGUUGGUAUGCAGGAGUAGUGGUAGUAGGCCACCAGGACAGAGGAAUGAAAAUCUCCUUUUUGAAAGUGUUGAGGAUUGCUACAUACUGCAUAUAUGUGUGGCUAAUGAAGAAUUACAGAUUCUAUCUCCAUAAUCAGUGAACCCGACAAGUUUACCACAGCGAUAAACAAGAUUUUCCUUCACUGUAGACGAAUUAUUAUUUAUUAAAUCAUGUAUUUAAAAAUAUUUUUGCAACAUUAAACAUUUCAUUUCAUCCACAGUAAAUUAGGCUUCAAUGAAAAUUUUAAGAUUGUUCAGUUGAUGAAAAGCAAGUUCAUUAAUUCCACAUGAGCUGGUGCCAAUGUUUCUUUACACAAACAAAAUCAGAUGAUGGCAAGAUGAGGACCACCUGUGCUGAUCAACUGACUAUAUGCAGCAGGGGAACGGGGAUACAGUUCUUUAGCCCAGCGGAUAAUGUCAGGAUGAUAUCGUCUGCCAUUUGUGCUCCUAGAUGCAUUCUCACAUUGAUUUGUAAAAAAUAUCUUCUGCCAGUUAUUCAUUUCGCCAGACUCAUUUUGAACCAUGUUCUAAAGAAAGGAGUACAAAGUGGAAGUGCGAAUAUCAAGAAGUGCAAGAUCCAUCACUCGCCAUCUGUGAAAUGCAACCCAGUUUACUGCUAAUGCUGGAUCAAUGCAGAUACUGAAAAUCGGUUUAUAUUAUAGUAUUUGUCUAUUAUUAAUCUGUUACAUUUUGAAAGUUAACUAAACAACAGUCUGAAACCUCAUCAUUGGCUGUAUAAAACUCUCCCCAUGUAAUUCUGCCCAAAACUUCCCUCCUCUUAAAGUGUAACUCCAACUGUCUAAAUAUACAAGAUUUAAAAAUUGUCUGAACUUGAUAUUUCUCAUCACACCCUGCAAUGAUGGUGAUAGUUGUUUCCAGGAUUUUAUUAGAUCAUCAAUAUUCCGAUGUCUUACUGUAACUGGGCAAUUCUUUACGUAAUGUUGGUGCCUUUCGAAUUUUCUUUAGAAUGUUUUUGUUUAAUUGGAUUAGCCAUUUUUAAAUAAAUUAACCACUGCUGAUUUCGGAUGAGACUUUUGGGGCUUCUUUACGUAACCAACCUUUUUGAUUUUUUAAAUUUUAUUACUUCAGAAUUCCUGAAGUGCUGUUCACAUAUUGCUGCCCUGAAUGUAAAGACAGUGCUUACUUAUUUUAGAUACACUUCUUAAACAAUGAACACUAACGAUUCCUAUGGAGCAUGUUGUCAUUUUUCAUUGGGUCUCGUAAUGUCAAAAUAAAUUUUUAAGUUGUUCGCCGUGUAAUCUUUCACACUCUGUUCUUCCAAAUUCUGGUCUUCUUAUAGUAAAUAAAGAAAAUUUGUUUUUACUGUGAGUUGUAUAACUGCAACCCUGAAUACAACAAUUGCUGCUCAUCUUUUAAA